GCCCCGCGCCGAGCGCCUCGUCUCGGGGAGUUGAUGGCAGCACCACAGUGCGGCCGCCCGGCCGAGCGCACCGCGCAGCCACCCGCGGCUGCCUGCCGAGCAGUCGACAUGUGGGGGGACUGGGGUGGGAGCGGCCGGAGCAGCGCCAGGGACCCGGGCGCGCAGCAGCCUCCGCUCGCUCGCCUGUCCUGACCUGGCUUGCUCGCCCCACCGAAGAAUGUCAGCCAAGUCCAAGGGGAACCCCUCCUCGUCCUCCGCAGCCGAGGGACCGCCGGCAGCCUCCAAAACCAAGGUGAAGGAGCAGAUCAAGAUCAUAGUGGAGGAUCUGGAAUUAGUCCUGGGCGACCUGAAGGACGUGGCCAAAGAACUUAAGGAGGUGGUUGACCAGAUUGACACCCUGACCUCUGACCUACAGCUGGAGGAUGAGAUGACCGACAGCUCCAAAACAGACACUCUGAACAGCAGCUCCAGUGGGACAACAGCCUCCAGCAUAGAGAAGAUCAAAGAACAGGCCAACGCCCCGCUCAUCAAACCUCCAGCACACCCGUCUGCUAUCCUGACUGUCCUGAGAAAGCCAAACCCUCCACCGCCUCCUCCAAGGUUGACACCCGUCAGAUGUGAAGAGCCUCAGAGAGUGGUGCCAACUGCCAACCCUGUAAAGACCAAUGGCACCCUUCUACGGAAUGGAGGAUUACUGGGUAGACCCAACAAAAUUCCAAAUGGAGACAUCUGCUGCAUACCCAACAGUAACUUGGACAAGGCUCCGUUGCAGUCUCUGAUGCACAGACCUGAAAAGGACAGGAGUCCUCAGGCAGGGCCUCGAGAACGAGUUCGGUUCAAUGAAAAAGUACAAUACCAUGGCUAUUGUCCUGACUGUGAGACCCGGUAUAACAUAAAGAAUAGGGAGGUUCAUUUACACAGUGAACCAGUCCAUCCACCUGGAAAGAUUCCUCACCAAGGACCUCUGCUCCCUCCUCCACCUCAUCUCCCCACUUUCCCUUUAGAAAAUGGGGGACUGGGAAUAAGCCACAGUAACAGUUUCCCCCCUCCCACACCUGCAACCGUGCCUCCUCCCGCUGCACCAAAACCACAGAAGACCAUCCUGAGAAAAUCCACCACUACCACAGUGUGAUAUCUGCCAUUUAAGAAAACGUUCUGUUUGUUUUUUAAUUUUCUAUAUGAUAAACGUAAAAUAAUAAGUAAUGAGCACUUUCUACUCAAGCAAUAAAAAGCCCAAAUAUAUUAAUCUGCAUUCAACAAAGUGGCAUAAAAAUCACGUGCUUAAUCAGGUUGGAAGAAAUACCUUUAUUUAGAAGCAUGUGGAUUCAUUUUUCUUACUUCAAAUUGUUCCUUGACCUCGUGAGGGCAGAUCUAAUUUUAAUGGAACCAGGAGCCUGACCCUGUCAAAGAAGCUAACCCUUCCCUUGGAGCACAAAUGACCAAUGAAAUGAUCCCCCCAAAUCACCUGCCUCUAGCCUGACAUCCAUGAGCAGAGCCACGGAGGCAGAAAAUGCCACAGCCUUAAAUAUCUUCACUAACAAAUUACCAAGAGGAUAUAACAAACAGAUAAGAAAGGACUACGUUUUUCAAAGUCAGCACAUAAAGAAAAUCAAUCUGAUUUCACUAGGGAAAAUCAGUAUUCCCUGAUAUUACCUUGUGUAGAAAACAAAACAAAACAAAAACACCUUAUCAGUGAAGAUACUAAAUUAUACAUUGAUUUAUCAUUUUAAAACGUGGAAAUUUAGGGACAAGAGGUAUCUGAAGUCAGAAUUACUCCUCAUUUCAAAACAUUUAGGCAAAACCAAAAACUGAACUGGCCAGAACAUUGCAUGACCAGGAUUAGGGAGAAUGUUGCUGUUUGCAGAGAGGUAGACGCCUGAGGCAGGUGCACCCUCAAAGCCAUAAUGGACAGGAGCGUUGGCGCCAAUUGCUUGAAAGUUACAGUGUUCCAUUCUUCGCCUUGUAUUUGUUGAGCAAGGAAGUCGGUUUGCACCGACUGCUUCUCCGUGCACUUUUGAUAUUUGCACAGUCAUUUCCAUUCAGGGUAACGAAGUGUCUUGUUAUUUGCACAGAUGAUCCCACCAGUUGUGAGACCACAAGAAGUAGUUUCUUGCAGACAUCCAAAAAAGGAAUAAUUUAUAAUUCUCAAGAUAAUGAUUUCUCUUUUCUCUGAUUUAAAAACAAAAACAAACAAAAAUACCAGUUUUUCAAUGAAGUGGGUUUGCUUCUGAACCAAACUGUACAAAGAAAACAUCAUGGUGGUCAAAAGAAUGCGAGUGAUAUCAAAAGGGUUUUUAUAUCAUUAC